rnacentral:lncRNA from 1 species
UGCUGUAUUUUGUGGAAUUAAGAUGAGAAAACCAAUCAUUUUGAACACUUUCUAUUUUAAGUAGGCUUUCAAACAAACCCUAAGGAUAUGUGAUAUAUAACCGUAUGUAGAUGAUAUUGUUGAUAAUAGUAUAUAAAUUGGGAUUUUGUUGGCAGUAUUUGGCGGCACUAUCUAAAUUAUCCUUAAAUCAUCAAGUUGUUUUUGUUUUCAUUUUACCAUAUACAACGGUGUAUCAGGAAUAACUAUCAUGUUAUAUUGGCCGAUCCACUCAAUCAAAUGAAAAAGUUUUUGCUUUAAGCAUUUCCAUAUCUAUAAUCCUGACGACAGUUAUAAUUAAAAAAUCAAAAGAUUUGUACUAAAGAUACAGCUAAACGGACAAAAUAAAAACACUGAAUGUCCCUCUGGGCCGAAGUGUCCAUAAAACGUAAAUAUCAUUUAAACAAGAUAUUGAUUUGGUUUUUUGCAAUGAAAGGAACGGUCUAUAGAUUAUGUAUUUUUCAAUAAAACAUGAAAACACUUUAGGUUCUGUAACCAUAAGGGCAUCGUCCGUCAUUGAAUGCUAAACAUUUGAUGAAUUUGUUUGGUUUCUUUGUGCAACACUAUCUGCAACAAUCGAGACAUUUGUUUCAUAUCUAUAGAAUACUGAGGACAGUUAACAUAAUAGUAUAUCAAAAGAAAACAAGAAGGAUGUAAAAUUAAGUGAUUGCAUAACAUUUUACCAAAAAAAAAAUAUUUAGAUUGGGGAUAAUGUCAUGGUAUG